rnacentral:lncRNA from 1 species
UUUAUUCUUUCCCAAUGGAAUCUAUAUCUUCCUCUGGAAAUAUUUGCAGUGAAUGCUAUUAUCAUGUUUGAUAAGUUUUGCAUUAUUGUUUCUUCUUCUUAAAACAGAAAUCCAUCCCAUUACAUACUAGUCCAUGUAUUACAUAAGACUGUCUGUUAUUUUAACGACAUGAAUUUUCCCGUUAUCGUCAUUUUCCUCACGACCACAUUCAAUU